AUACCACUAACACAGACAAGGCAGCAGGGGGAGACAUAGCAAUUAUAAUUUUCCAAUAAACACAACAGAUAGAAAUUUUAUAAAGUACUGUACAGAAAAAAGCUGAGGAUAUAUUUUGCUGGUCUUCCCAGUCUCCUACUGAGAAACAGAGAAAGAACAGAAACAGCAUUAGUGAAGAUGCUGUUAGGUAGCAGAUGCAGCUCUUCUAUAGGAAUUAUGAUUCUUAGUGCUGUUUUUUUAAACGUCACUUGUUCCCUAUCACCUGAGUGCACGCACAUCUGAUGCCCCAGGAUGUAUCUGCAAAGAUUCUUGACAAAUUUUUAUCAGCUCACAAGAACAAGAAUUUAAGGAGCUCCAGGCUGGACAUCUACAGUACAUUAAAAAUAACAAUGAGGGACAAGGAAGCCAGUAGCCUCUAGCAUCAUGCAGUGAAUGUUGAGGACGAUGAUGACAGCGUUCUGGCUGUUUCUCAUGAGCUGCCCAGAUCAGGACUGGAUCAAGACACCACCUUGCUUGAUGUAGAACAACAAAUGAAGUCUCUG